rnacentral:lncRNA from 1 species
UUUUUUUUUUGGUAAAAAUGUAAAGAUAUUAUUACCAAGUUUUUUCGUUUUUGACAGAAAAUACAGAGGUUAACAAGAAACAGAUAAACGGAAAAUAAAUCUAAACACAAACUCGAUUUAGCUAAAACGGGACGAAAGACACAAACUACCUAAACCGCUAUCCCCGAGGCUCGGCCAUGUCCACAACAACAGCUUGCCGCAAAAGAAUGAGCCAAGUUCAACCGAGAGUCGGAACCCGGUAAUUUUGGCCUCCCCGAUGAUCCGCUCUUAAAGAUAAUGGCCCAUCCGAGAACAGCUUGCCGAGGCUUAGUAGCACAAACCCACAAGAACAGACAACAAGAGCAGAGGCCUACACACCCGCAGAAACCAAAACCGAGCUUUUAUUAGACCCGAAUACGACCUAUACAUGAUGCCGUUCCGAGCAAAAAGGGGCUGCAACCUCCGAACAUCCCAUACCGAGCCCAACCUGCACACAAUUGCCUCGCACACCACCACAAAGAGCACAAGCAAACCCAAGUGAUGCUGGGAUGUGAGCGAAGACCGAGCUUUAGGAAGUGGCGGUCAAUGACCAGAGAACCACCACACGCUCGUCGUCGCCGAGAACCGACGAACUGAAAUUGGAGACGCUAGGGCCGUCACUUGCCUCAACAAGAACGGGAUUUGAAACAGC